rnacentral:rRNA from 1 species
UACGAAGGAGGCUAGCGAUUUUCGGAGUCACUGGGCGAAAAGCGCACGCAGGCGGAUCGAUCAGUCGGGGGUGAAAGCCCGGGGCUCAACCUCGGAAUUGCCUUCGAUACUGUCGGUCUCGAGUCCGGGAGAGGUGAGUGGAAUUCCUAGUGUAGAGGUGAAAUUCGUAGAUAGUAGGAAGAACACCAGUGGCGAAGGCGGCUCACUGGCCCGGUACUGACGCUCAGGUGCGAAAGCGUGGGGAGCAAACAGG